AGGGUGAGUACCCAGCAGAGCGGCAGCAGAUACAGCAUGCAAACUGUGCCCAGAAGUGCGCCAUAGAACCUGAAUGACAAGAAAACAAGAUCCGUCAAGAACGCAGGAUGUAACAGCCAAGCACACAUGGUCGCUGGAAGAAGGCAGCCUGUGCUCUCCAGAGAAAUGAUGUCCUGGAAUACUUUCUCUCCCUCUUUUUGACAGCAUCUUGCUAUGUAUCCAGGCUGGCCUCAAAAGGGAAGGCUGUGCUGGGAUUUCAACUACCCAAGACCUUGCCUGGCUUUUCUUUUAUUCUUAACCAGUUAAUUACUAUUCAACCUUCUGAUGUCAGCUUAAACAUCACUCUUGCGCUGGGAAGUCCUUGCCCGUUUCCUCCUAUUUGGCUGGCCUCUACUCAUCACAGUUUCUGCACACAGUAGGUGCACAGUAACUACAGCUUGCUAAAUUAGUAAAUGAGCCACAUUCAACCAGGA